rnacentral:lncRNA from 1 species
AGGAGUCUUAUAAGACCAUCUGCAUAUCAAAUAUUUACAUUAUGAUUUAUAACAAUAGCCAAAUUACAGUUUGAAGUAGUAACAAUAAUUUUAUGGUUGGAGUCACCGCAACAUGCGGAACUGAAUUAAGGGUCACAGCAUUAGGAAGGUUGAGAAUCAUUAUGUUGUAGGAAAUCCCAUAUUAACUGUCCUCAGUUAAUAAUACGUGUUGCUCUUGCAGAAGACCUGUAUUCAUUUACCACCUCCCACAAGGAGGUGCACAAGCACUUCAAACUCAAUCCCAGAAGGCCCUACUCCUUCUUCUGGCUUCACAUGCAUUACUCACAUGUGCACUCAUAUACAUGCAGGCAAAUACUCAUGCACAUAAAAUAAAUCAUUUGUAGACAUGAGUUAACAUGUCUAAAGGUUCAAAUUUGGUGUCUCCACAGCCUAUAUAUAAUCCUACCUUUUCUUACUCUUCUAAUAAACAGUUCCCUUUAAGAUUCAAGAACCGCAGUCUGAUGGUUGGCUGUGAGCAUCCUCAUCUGUAUUGGUCAGGUGCUGGCAGAACCUCCCAGGGAACAGCUAUAACAGGCUCCUGCCAGCAAGCACUUCUUGGCAUCAGCAACAGUGUCUGGGUUUGGUGUCUGCAUGUGGGAUGGAUCCCUAGGUGGGGCAGUCUCUGGAUGGCCUUUCCUUCAGUUUCUGCUCUAUUCUUUGUCCCUGCUUUUCCUUUAGAUAGGUACAAUUCUGGGUUAAAAUUUUUGAGAUGGGUGGGUGGACCCAUCCCUACUGGAGGCUGUGCCUAUCCACUGGAUAUGGUCUCUACAGGUACUAUCUCCCCUUUGUUGGGUGUUUUGGCAAAUGUCAUCCCCAUUGAAUCCUGGGAACCUCUUGUUUACCUGGCAUCUGGGACUUUCUAGUGACUACCCCCAGUUCCCCAUUCCCGGAAUCACUGCUACAUAUUUCUGUUCAAUUUCCUGACAUCUGUACUUCUCCCCUGUCCCCUCCUACACCUGAUCCUGCCCCCUCCCUUUUUUCUUCCCCCUCCUCUCUCCCUCCCAGGUCCCUCCCUCCCUCUAUCUCCUUUAAUUAUUUUGUUCCCCCUUCUAACAAAGGAUUGAAGCAUUCACACUUUGGUCUUCCUCCUCCUUGAGCUUCAUAUGGUCUGUGGGUUGUAUCGUGAAUAUUCCGAUCUUCUGGGCUAAUAUCCACUUAUCAGUGAGUGCAUACCAUUUGUGUUCUUCUGUGACUGGGUCACCUCUCUCAGGAUAUUUUCUAGUUCCAUCCAUUUGCCUGAGAAUUUCCUGAAGUCAUUGUUUUUAAUAGCUGAGCAGUACUCCAGAUGCAGAUGCUUGCAGCCAACCAUUAGACUGAGCCCAGGGACCCCAGUGGAGGAGUUAGGGGAAGGACUGAAUGAGCUGAAGGGGAUUGCAAUCCUUAGGAAGAACAACAAUAUCAACUAACUGGACUCCCAGAGCUCUCAAAGACUAAACCACCAACCACAGAGUACACAUGGAGGGACCUAUGGCUCCAGCUGCAUAUGUAGCAGAGGAUUGCCUUAUCUGGCAUCAGUGGGAGGGGAGGCCCUUGGUCCUGAGGAGGCUCGAUGCUCCAGUGUAGGGGAAUGCCAGGGUGGUGAGGUAGGAGUGGGUGGGUAGGUAUGUGGGAGAGCACCCUCAUAGAAGCAGGGGAGAGGGGAAAUGGGAUGGGAUGCCAUGGCAUGGGGGAUUUGCAGAGGGAAAACCAGGAAGGGGAACAACAUUUAAAAUGUAAAUAAAAUAACCAAUU